UGCCCAGAGGUAGAAGAGGGUGUUGGAAACC
rnacentral:piRNA from 1 species